rnacentral:rRNA from 1 species
GAGGAAUAUUGGUCAAUGGACGAGAGUCUGAACCAGCCAAGUAGCGUGAAGGAUGACUGCCCUAUGGGUUGUAAACUUCUUUUAUACGGGAAUAAAGUGAGGCACGUGUGCCUUUUUGUAUGUACCGUAUGAAUAAGGAUCGGCUAACUCCGUGCCAGCAGCCGCGGUAAUACGGAGGAUCCGAGCGUUAUCCGGAUUUAUUGGGUUUAAAGGGAGCGUAGGCGGAUGCUUAAGUCAGUUGUGAAAGUUUGCGGCUCAACCGUAAAAUUGCAGUUGAUACUGGGUGUCUUGAGUACAGUAGAGGCAGGCGGAAUUCGUGGUGUAGCGGUGAAAUGCUUAGAUAUCACGAAGAACUCCGAUUGCGAAGGCAGCUUGCUGGACUGUAACUGACGCUGAUGCUCGAAAGUGUGGGUAUCAAACAGGAUUAGAUACCCUGGUAGUCCACACAGUAAACGAUGAAUACUCGCUGUUUGCGAUAUACAGUAAGCGGCCAAGCGAAAGCGUUAAGUAUUCCACCUGGGGAGUACGCCGGCAACGGUGAAACUCAAAGGAAUUGACGGGGGCCCGCACAAGCGGAGGAACAUGUGGUUUAAUUCGAUGAUACGCGAGGAACCUUACCCGGGCUUGAAUUGCAACUGAAUGAUGUGGAGACAUGUCAGCCGCAAGGCAGUUGUGAAGGUGCUGCAUGGUUGUCGUCAGCUCGUGCCGUGAGGUGUCGGCUUAAGUGCCAUAACGAGCGCAACCCUUAUCGAUAGUUACCAUCAGGUUAUGCUGGGGACUCUGUCGAGACUGCCGUCGUAAGAUGUGAGGAAGGUGGGGAUGACGUCAAAUCAGCACGGCCCUUACGUCCGGGGCUACACACGUGUUACAAUGGGGGGUACAGAAGGCAGCUACACGGCGACGUGAUGCUAAUCCCGAAAGCCUCUCUCAGUUCGGAUUGGAGUCUGCAACCCGACUCCAUGAAGCUGGAUUCGCUAGUAAUCGCGCAUCAGCCACGGCGCGGUGAAUACGUUCCCG